rnacentral:misc_RNA from 1 species
UUGAAUUUUAAUGAAGAGUUUGGUUGUAGCUGGCCCAUUCAUUUGGACAUGUGCACACCUUCCUCUUUCAUCCCACACACACCUGUGAACCUGUGAGACAGAGAUGGGGAAUUUACUUGCUGCUCUUUGAAAUACAAAGGCAAUAGGUUAUUGGACCCCCCCUCUGUCUACUCAAUUAAUAUAAACUCAAUUUAUUUUAAAACGAAUGUAAUGGAUGUAACACAUCUCAUAC